rnacentral:tRNA from 3 species
GGCGGGGUAGCUCAGAUGGUUAGAGCGUUGGAUUCAUAACCCAAAGGUCGGCAGUUCGAUUCUGCUCCCCGCUAC